CAGAGGCUCUCGUUCCUGUACCCACUGACGAGGUUACCUUAGUGGGGCAGACACUUAACACCUUCCUUGCUUGGCCAACACAUCUUGUGAAGUGUUUAUCAGAACAUGCAGCUGUGUCUCCAGCAAAAUCUCUAGAAAGCCUGGAUGAAGAGGUCGACGAUCCCCUGUACCUGAUGACAUUGACCAUCCCACAACUGUUUUUGAAGCCGCUCCAGGUUAUGUGGGAUGCUACCAUAUUCGGGGUGUUUAAUCAAAACUUCCCGUUGUAUAUAAAGCACGAAGAUCUCUCUGGAAUUGCACACGGUGGUCAAUGUCUCAGCAUAUCUGUUAUACAGUUGUGGAUUCUCUAAGUCAUUUUAGAUUACUAUUAAUUACCAAAGUAAUUGUUUUAAAUUCAUACAUAAUUAACUUUGACUUAACAAUAUAGCCAUCUGACCGAGACAAGUGUGCGAGCGGGGAAUUCUGAUGUGUAUGGAUUCCUCGAGCCACAAUCCAUUCAGAGAUCUGGGCAAUCACAAUUUGAAUCUGAAAGUUACAUCAAGAGUUGGAUACAAAGUUCAAAACGAGAUGUUUACCUUGGAGCCUAUCUGAAUGGCGGACACUGGCAAAUGGUCGUCAUUCUGCCUAAGGAAAA